UGAACGCUGGCGGCAGGCCUAACACAUGCAAGUCGAACGGUAACAGGAAGCAGCUUGCUGCUUUGCUGACGAGUGGCGGACGGGUGAGUAAUGUCUGGGAAACUGCCCGAUGGAGGGGGAUAACUACUGGAAACGGUAGCUAAUACCGCAUAACGUCGCAAGACCAAAGAGGGGGACCUUAGGGCCUCUUGCCAUCGGAUGUGCCCAGAUGGGAUUAGCUAGUAGGUGGGGUAACGGCUCACCUAGGCGACGAUCCCUAGCUGGUCUGAGAGGAUGACCAGCCACACUGGAACUGAGACACGGUCCAGACUCCUACGGGAGGCAGCAGUGGGGAAUAUUGCACAAUGGGCGCAAGCCUGAUGCAGCCAUGCCGCGUGUAUGAAGAAGGCCUUCGGGUUGUAAAGUACUUUCAGCGGGGAGGAAGGGAGUAAAGUUAAUACCUUUGCUCAUUGACGUUACCCGCAGAAGAAGCACCGGCUAACUCCGUG
rnacentral:rRNA from 1 species